CACGUUAUCAAAUCUAUCGUAAAGAACCACACACCUUAUUUCAUUUAUCAAAUUCUCUUUAACACUCCUUACCCAAUUUUGCUUGGACUGUACUAGCGUUGCUUUUGAAUUCAUAAUUCCUUAUCGCUUCAGGAAGGAAACAAAGAAAAACGCUCGGAGGUAUCGGCGAGUUAAUUUAGCAAACGAGAUUAUAUCAACCGAUUCUAAAGUGUCUAAAUGAUCUUUUUUUUUUUCAUCUAUGUGAACAACAGUUCCUUAACCAAAUUAACAAAAAAGCACCCAUUUCAAUAGUUUUACUAAAGCACGCUAAUUCUCACAUUGUCUCCUUAUUUGUCUUUCAUCUUUUUCCUUUUACAAGCUUAGGUCAAGUCAAUCUCUUGUAGAGGAAGUUUUGUAUUCUAUGCGUCCUUCAAUCCUACAUCCGUCUCGAUAACACAAUAAAAUAUUAUCUUAACAAAAAUUUAACAAAGGGAUAUAUUCUUAUUAUGGAAACGCCUCUCGGCCGACAUGCCCAUUUUUCUGCCCCUAUAAUCAUGUGUGCAGUUGCCUUAGAUCCGAAAUCUCCCUUCUCGUUCCUUCGAAUCCAGCUUCGGCCGAGAUGAUUUGCCUCUUUGAGAAUGAGAGGUAGCAAAAGGAAAAGGGGUCGUUUAUGCACUAGAAAAUGACGACACGUAAAUGGAUUGCUUAGCUAAGCUUAUAGACGUUUAGGUUUUGUUCAUGCAUAUAGUGGAGUGUAAACAAACGGACCUCAAUUGACAAGACUUGCACCCUUAAAAUAACGUGAGAAUUUAAUUACUGCGAUCCACCAUUCAUGCAUGAAAGACAAUGAACCAAUUGCUUUGUUUAUAAGUGGAUUUGAAAAUGAACGUAUUAGAAGCGGUUUUUAGGGUGGAGUAGGUAUAUGCAGCG